rnacentral:rRNA from 1 species
UACCUAUGUCCGGACGGGAUAAGCGCUGAAAGCAUCUAAGCGCGAAACCCACCCCAAGAUAAGGCCACCCACCGGGUAACCGGGUAAGCCCCCAGGUAGACUACCUGGUUGAUAGGCCGGAGGUGUAAGCGCCGUAAGGCGUUGAGCUGACCGGUACUAAUCGGGCGAGGGCUUGAUCACU